AGAGGCUGUAUUAUACAACUAUGGUAAAAAGGCAGUUAAAUAUUUAAAUUCUAAGUUUAUUUACUAUUUAUAUAAGGGUAAAAUCUAAAUAUAAAUAAAUAAUUCAAUAUAAACUUAUUAUAUAAUAUAUUGACUCUGCUAAACCCUUGAGGGAAACUGGGAUUAGAUACCCCAUUAUUCUUGGAAGUAAAUUAACGUAAGUUUACCAGAGUACUAUGAAUUUAUAAUCAUUUAAAACUCAAAGGGCUUGGCGGUGUUUUAGACCUCUCAGGGGAACCUGUCUCAUAAUCGAUAAUCCACGUUAGACCUAACCUUUUUUUGCAAUCUCAGUUUGUAUACCGUCGUCGUCAGGUAACUUUUAAAAAAUAAGAAGUUAACAACAAAAUUACAUUAAAUUCAAACGUCAGAUCAAGGUGCAGCCUAUAUAAAGGUGAGGAUGGGUUACAAUUAUAAAUUAUAAUUACGGAUAGAAAAUUGAAAUAUUUACCCUGUGAAGGAGGACUUGAAAGUAAAAUAAAUU
rnacentral:rRNA from 1 species